rnacentral:rRNA from 1 species
UUGGUGUGAAUUGCAGAAUCCCGCGAACCAUCAAUUCUUUGAACGCAAGUUGCGCCCGAAGCCAUUCGGCCGAGGGCACGCCUGCCUGGGUGUCGUGA